CCAUCUGCUUCAGGUGAACCUGGAUCAUCGAGCCAUGAUGGAUGGCAGUGACUGGAUGUCAGGAGCAAAUGUAUUGACGACUAAUGGAGGCAAAGAAGUCCCAAGAUCUGCACUUGGCAAGCUGGAGACCAGGGAGAGCUGAUGGCAUAGUCUCGGUGCAAGUCCAAAGGCCUGAGAACCAGGAGAGCUGAUAGAGGCAGUUCCAAUCCUGGUUCAUGAACCUGCAUUAUGGAUCCUCACAAAUUGAAGAAGCCCCCAAGGGGCCAUGCCGGGAAAGGAAAGUUGAAAAGGAAGGACAUCCCUGACUACUUAAAAAACUGGGUGUGUGUAUACUUCUCUUGGCUCUUAUUUAGUUUUGAAUAUAGGGUGAUGUAAUUCAAAUACGUUCUGAAUCUGCUUUCUUUCUCCACAUGGUCAUUAGAUAUGAGUGGGGUAAGGAUGAGAUAAUGAUUCUAAGUUAUACCGGCUUCUAAGGGAUGUUGCAAAGCUGUGAUCAUUUUUGAUCAAGCAAACUUUUCUCUCGGCCUAAGAAGAACUGGGUAUACAACAUACACCCUAUAAAUAUAGUGCAUGGCU